rnacentral:rRNA from 1 species
ACACGUGGGGGGCGAGCGUUGUCCGGAAUUACUGGGCGUAAAGGGCGUGUAGGCGGCCGGUCAAGUCAGCUGUGAAAUCCCCCGGCUCAACCGGGGAGUUGCAGUUGAAACUGGUCGGCUUGAGUGCAGGAGAGGAGGGUGGAAUUCCUGGUGUAGCGGUGAAAUGCGUAGAUAUCAGGAGGAACACCGGUGGCGAAGGCGACCUUCUGGCCUGUUACUGACGCUGAGGCGCGAAAGCCAGGGGAGCGAACAGGAUUAGAUACCCUGGUAGUCCUGGCCGUAAACGCUGGGUACUAGGUGUAGGGGGUUUAGAUACCUUCUGUGCCGUAGUUAACGCAUUAAGUACCCCGCCUGGGGAGUACGAUCGCAAGGUUGAA